rnacentral:rRNA from 1 species
UACGAAGGGGGCUAGCGUUGUUCGGAAUUACUGGGCGUAAAGCGCACGUAGGCGGUUUUGUAAGUCAGGGGUGAAAUCCCGGGGCUCAACCUCGGAACUGCCUUUGAUACUGGCAAUCUUGAGUCCGGAAGAGGUGAGUGGAACUCCUAGUGUAGAGGUGGAAUUCGUAGAUAUUAGGAAGAACACCAGUGGCGAAGGCGGCUCACUGGUCCGGUACUGACGCUGAGGUGCGAAAGCGUGGGGAGCAAACAGG